rnacentral:rRNA from 1 species
UACGAGGGGGGCGAGCGUUGUUCGGAAUUAUUGGGCGUAAAGGGUGCGUAGGCGGUUCCGCAAGUCCUGUGUGAAAUCCUGGAGCUCAACUCCAGAACUGCCUUUGAUACUGAAGAUCUUGAGUUCGGGAGAGGUGAGUGGAACUGCGAGUGUAGAGGUGAAAUUCGUAGAUAUUCGCAAGAACACCAGUGGCGAAGGCGGCUCACUGGCCCGAUACUGACGCUGAGGCACGAAAGCGUGGGGAGCAAACAGG